rnacentral:rRNA from 1 species
UACGUAGGGUGCAAGCGUUAAUCGGAAUUACUGGGCGUAAAGCGUGCGCAGGCGGUGAUGUAAGACAGGUGUGAAAUCCCCGGGCUUAACCUGGGAACUGCAUUUGUGACUGCAUCGCUGUAGUGCGGCAGAGGGGGAUGGAAUUCCGCGUGUAGCAGUGAAAUGCGUAGAUAUGCGGAGGAACACCGAUGGCGAAGGCAGCCUCCUGGGCCAGCACUGACGCUCAUGCACGAAAGCGUGGGGAGCAAACAGG